rnacentral:lncRNA from 1 species
GAAAAUACUGAAUACUGAGCUAACUGAUGCAAUGACCAAAUUUAUAACAUGCUGAGACUGAAUACUGACUGUACUGAAAUAUGGUCAAUGCAAUAGAGUCUGACUGAAUUGUGGGAGCUACUAAUAACCGACAUAAAACCACAUGAGCUAAAUGUGGAGUCCGAUGUAUAUGCCCCAUCGAGAGGACCCAAUAUACCCUGCCAG